UACGGAGGGGGCUAGCGUUGUUCGGAAUUACUGGGCGUAAAGCGCACGUAGGCGGCUUUGUAAGUUAGAGGUGAAAGCCUGGAGCUCAACUCCAGAAUUGCCUUUAAGACUGCAUCGCUUGAAUCCGAGAGAGGUGAGUGGAAUUCCGAGUGUAGAGGUGAAAUUCGUAGAUAUUGGGAAGAACACCGGUGGCGAAGGCGGCCAUCUGGACCACAACUGACGCUGAGGCGCGAAAGCGUGGGGAGCAAACAGG
rnacentral:rRNA from 1 species